UCAUUCUGCUCCUACCAGUAACUGGCAAUAGUCAGCUCUGUACUCUUGGAAACAUUAAAUGAGCUUGCAGAUGUCUCUCCAGAAUGAGAGACAUGCCCCAUUUUGGAGUAGAAGUGAGCAUUACUGAACCUGGCUUCUUUAAGACUGGUGUGACUAGCUUAGAGGUUAUUGAAAGAGAUCUAUUAUGACUUUGGAACCGACUGUCUUCAGAAGCCAGAGAAUCCUAUGGAAACACGUACUUUGUUAAGUGCACAGCAAGACCCAGACAUUUUUGGUGUGCAUACACCCAAAGGAGCCAAAA